UACGUAGGGUGCAAGCGUUAAUCGGAAUUACUGGGCGUAAAGCGCACGCAGGCGGUCUGUCAAGUCGGAUGUGAAAUCCCCGGGCUCAACCUGGGAACUGCAUCCGAAACUGGCAGGCUUGAGUCUCGUAGAGGGGGGUAGAAUUCCAGGUGUAGCGGUGAAAUGCGUAGAGAUCUGGAGGAAUACCGGUGGCGAAAGCGACUUCCUGGACCAAUACUGACGCUCAUGUGCGAAAGCGUGGGGAGCAAACAGG
rnacentral:rRNA from 1 species